UAGGGAAUCUUCCGCAAUGGACGAAAGUCUGACGGAGCAACGCCGCGUGAGUGAAGAAGGUUUUCGGAUCGUAAAACUCUGUUGUUAGAGAAGAACAAGGAUGAGAGUAACUGCUCGUCCCUUGACGGUAUCUAACCAGAAAGCCAUGGCUAACUACGUGCCAGCAGCCGCGGUAAUACGUAGAUGGCAAGCGUUGUCCGGAUUUAUUGGGCGUAAAGCGAGCGCAGGCGGUUCUUUAAGUCUGAUGUGAAAGCCCCUGGCUCAACCAGGGAGGGUCAUUGGAAACUGGAGAACUUGAGUGCAGAAGAGGAAAGUGGAAUUCCAUGUGUAGCGGUGAAAUGCGUAGAUAUAUGGAGGAACACCAGUGGCGAAGGCGACUUUCUGGUCUGUAACUGACGCU
rnacentral:rRNA from 1 species